rnacentral:tRNA from 2 species
GCGGGUGUGGCGGAAUUGGCAGACGCGCAGGAUUUAGGUUCCUGUGUCUUCGGACGUGAGAGUUCAAGUCUCUCCACCCGCA